GAAUUCACUAGUGAUUCAGGCCUAACACAUGCAAGUCGAACGGCAGCACGGAGCUUGCUCUGGUGGCGAGUGGCGAACGGGUGAGUAAUAUAUCGGAACGUACCCUGGAGUGGGGGAUAACGUAGCGAAAGUUACGCUAAUACCGCAUACGAUCUACGGAUGAAAGUGGGGGAUCGCAAGACCUCAUGCCCGUGGAGCGGCCGAUAUCUGAUUAGCUAGUUGGUAGGGUAAAAGCCUACCAAGGCAUCGAUCAGUAGCUGGUCUGAGAGGACGACCAGCCACACUGGAACUGAGACACGGUCCAGACUCCUACGGGAGGCAGCAGUGGGGAAUUUUGGACAAUGGGCGAAAGCCUGAUCCAGCAAAGCCGCGUGAGUGAAGAAGGCCUUCGGGUGUAAAGCUAAGGGUCAGGGGAGAAACGGUGAGAGCUAAUAUCUCUGCUAAUGACG
rnacentral:rRNA from 1 species